rnacentral:rRNA from 1 species
UACGUAGGGCGCGAGCGUUAAUCGGAAUUACUGGGCGUAAAGCGUGCGCAGGCGGUUUUGUAAGCCAGAUGUGAAAUCCCCGGGCUUAACCUGGGAAUGGCAUUUGGGACUGCAAGGCUGGAGUGUGGCAGAGGAGACUGGAAUUCCCGGUGUAGCAGUGAAAUGCGUAGAUAUCGGGAGGAAUACCGAUGGCGAAGGCAGGUCUCUGGGCUGACACUGACGCUCAUGCACGAAAGCGUGGGGAGCAAACAGG